rnacentral:rRNA from 1 species
UGGGGAAUAUUGCACAAUGGGCGCAAGCCUGAUGCAGCCAUGCCGCGUGUAUGAAGAAGGCCUUCGGGUUGUAAAGUACUUUCAGCGAGGAGGAAGGCGUUGUGGUUAAUAACCGCAACGAUUGACGUUACUCGCAGAAGAAGCACCGGCUAACUCCGUGCCAGCAGCCGAGGUAAUACGGAGGGGGCAAGCGUUAAUCGGAAUUACUGGGCGUAAAGCGCACGCAGGCGGUCUGUCAAGUCGGAUGUGAAAUCCCCGGGCUCAACCUGGGAACUGCAUCCGAAACUGGCAGGCUAGAGUCUUGUAGAGGGGGGUAGAAUUCCAGGUGUAGCGGUGAAAUGCGUAGAGAUCUGGAGGAAUACCGGUGGCGAAGGCGGCCCCCUGGACAAAGACUGACGCUCAGGUGCGAAAGCGUGGGGAGCAAACA